rnacentral:rRNA from 1 species
UGCAAGUCGUACGCUUCUUUUUCCACCGGAGCUUGCUCCACCGGAAAAAGAAGAGUGGCGAACGGGUGAGUAACACGUGGGUAACCUGCCCAUCAGAAGGGGAUAACACUUGGAAACAGGUGCUAAUACCGUAUAACAAUCGAAACCGCAUGGUUUUGAUUUGAAAGGCGCUUUCGGGUGUCGCUGAUGGAUGGACCCGCGGUGCAUUAGCUAGUUGGUGAGGUAACGGCUCACCAAGGCCACGAUGCAUAGCCGACCUGAGAGGGUGAUCGGCCACAUUGGGACUGAGACACGGCCCAAACUCCUACGGGAGGCAGCAGUAGGGAAUCUUCGGCAAUGGACGAAAGUCUGACCGAGCAACGCCGCGUGAGUGAAGAAGGUUUUCGGAUCGUAAAACUCUGUUGUUAGAGAAGAACAAGGAUGAGAGUAACUGUUCAUCCCUUGACGGUAUCUAACCAGAAAGCCACGGCUAACUACGUGCCAGCAGCCGCGGUAAUACGUAGGUGGCAAGCGUUGUCCGGAUUUAUUGGGCGUAAAGCGAGCGCAGGCGGUUUCUUAAGUCUGAUGUGAAAGCCCCCGGCUCAACCGGGGAGGGUCAUUGGAAACUGGGAGACUUGAGUGCAGAAGAGGAGAGUGGAAUUCCAUGUGUAGCGGUGAAAUGCGUAGAUAUAUGGAGGAACACCAGUGGCGAAGGCGGCUCUCUGGUCUGUAACUGACGCUGAGGCUCGAAAGCGUGGGGAGCAAACAGGAUUAGAUACCCUGGUAGUCCACGCCGUAAACGAUGAGUGCUAAGUGUUGGAGGGUUUCCGCCCUUCAGUGCUGCAGCUAACGCAUUAAGCACUCCGCCUGGGGAGUACGACCGCAAGGUUGAAACUCAAAGGAAUUGACGGGGGCCCGCACAAGCGGUGGAGCAUGUGGUUUAAUUCGAAGCAACGCGAAGAACCUUACCAGGUCUUGACAUCCUUUGACCACUCUAGAGAUAGAGCUUCCCCUUCGGGGGCAAAGUGACAGGUGGUGCAUGGUUGUCGUCAGCUCGUGUCGUGAGAUGUUGGGUUAAGUCCCGCAACGAGCGCAACCCUUAUUGUUAGUUGCCAUCAUUCAGUUGGGCACUCUAGCAAGACUGCCGGUGACAAACCGGAGGAAGGUGGGGAUGACGUCAAAUCAUCAUGCCCCUUAUGACCUGGGCUACACACGUGCUACAAUGGGAAGUACAACGAGUCGCGAAGUCGCGAGGCUAAGCUAAUCUCUUAAAGCUUCUCUCAGUUCGGAUUGUAGGCUGCAACUCGCCUACAUGAAGCCGGAAUCGCUAGUAAUCGCGGAUCAGCACGCCGCGGUGAAUACGUUCCCGGGCCUUGUACACACCGCCCGUCACACCACGAGAGUUUGUAACACCCGAAGUCGGUGAGGUAACCUUUUGGAGCCAGCCGCCUAAGG